UCUAGUGAUGAUGGCAAAGAGGUCACACCCGUUCCCAUACCGAACACGGAAGUUAAGCUCUUUAGCGCCGAUGGUAGUUGGGGGCUUCCCNGAAAGACCAGAGAAUUUUUUCUC
rnacentral:rRNA from 1 species